UACAGAGGUCUCAAGCGUUGUUCGGAUUCAUUGGGCGUAAAGGGUGCGCAGGCGGCCAGGUGUGUGAGGUGUGAAAUCCCGGAGCUUAACUCCGGAACUGCGCCUCAAACUAACUUGGCUAGAGCAUUGGAGAGGGAAGUGGAAUUCACGGUGUAGCAGUGAAAUGCGUAGAUAUCGCGAGGAACACCAGAGGCGAAGGCGACUUCCUGGACAAUUGCUGACGCUCAGGCACGAAAGCGUGGGGAGCAAAAGGG
rnacentral:rRNA from 1 species